UUAUGAUAUUGCACGUUGUUUCGUAACAAGCUUGAUGAAGAUGAACCCCCGCUUCGUGAACUGAUAUUAGCACCCCAAGGGAAAUGAUGUGUAUUUCUUGGAACAUCUGGAGUGUGAAAAAAAGGGGGUUGCGGGUUUGAUAGAUUAUUACCAAUUUGCCCUCGGGACUGGUCCAAAAAUUCAUUAAGCAAAAUUUGUCUGUUCAAUGAUUGCCUCGAGUGCCGAACGGUGGUGGUGUUGGUGUCGGUGAGCUUUCUGGAACUCCGAUUCUUGCAUUUGGUGUUUCGUAGCGGUUCAUCGGCACAUGGUUGACUUGAGCCGAAGAUAUGUUUAAGCUUCUAGAAGCUUCCGGAAAGCAACUGGAAGCGCCACCCAUGAGGGACUGAGUAGAAGUACCUUCCAGGGUUUUUCUUUUACAAGAUAAACCCCAAUGAUCGAAAGAUGAGCCCGGCCCACAAUCAGAAGGCCCGAUACCAUCAUCGUCACUAUUAGUACUCUCAUAUCCAACAUUCAAAUUUACAUUCAUAGGAGUUGUUGAUGAUUCACGAUGUGGUUGUUCUAAUCUUGAUGCAUGAGCGGCUGAAUUUGACCAGUGUUGACCGUCAUUAGAAACCUGAUCGCGUAAACUUGCCCUAGAGCUAGAUUCGCCAACGUCCCAGCUUCUAAAACUUUGAAAACUAUUAUGACGAUUUGUAUUCACACAACUGAAAUUUAGCUCGUUAGAAAGAUCGUUAUUUAACAACCGUCUUUCCAUUGGAGAUAACAUAUUAUUCCAAUCAUCGGUUUCGUCCAUACUAGUAGUGUUGGGAUUUGACCCCUGGUUAAGGUCAACGGUCUCGGGGAAAGGGUCAAAUAUGCUCCUUUGACCUUGCAUCGGGUCAAGCUAUGAAAUUGACCAAGUCGGUAUUCACAAGGUAUAGCCCCCGCAACUCUUCACUCCUACGCGAUGCAUAGAAGGCACCGAAGAAUAAAUAAGGUUGUGUUCCUGAGAUUUAUACAUCAUCAACGAAAAGUUAAUAUAUUAACGGAUGGAUUUAACCAUUAAAGGAGAACAGUAGGACGACAUUCAAAGUCAAAAUAGCAACACUUUAACCAAAAAAACAUCAGAUAAUACACAAAUUAUCGCAACCUAACAGCUUAAAUUUUACAAAUUAAUCAUAAAGCAAAAUUACCAAAUUAGUUACACAGCAUUCUUAUAUCAGCUUUCCAGGUAUAAUAAAAAAGAAACAAAAAUAAAUAAAUAAAAACAGAAGACCAGAUGUUUAAAGUUUAUCUUUUCGGUUUAGUACAUGAGUAAAAAUUAAAGCUUUAAUGAAGAGAAUCAAGAAAUAUUAGUUAAACAAUAUUACAUUGUAAAGAAAAUGAUGACCACACCUGCAGUACUAAAAUUAUGCAUUUUGAGGCAUCAAAGGUGUGGAAAUUAGAUCAAUUAAACAUGAACCAGUAACCAAUAAU
rnacentral:lncRNA from 1 species